CAAUAGCAUAUAUUAACGUUGUUGCAGUUGAAAAGCUCGUAGUUGAACUUUUGGUAGGAGCGACCUGGCCUUGGGCGCAUGCCCUUGUUUGCCGUGUGUCGUAUCUAGCCAUCCUUUUCUUCUUUUUGGAAGGAAUCUUUUACUGUGAGUAAACUGGAGUGCUCAAAACAAGACGUUUGUUUGGUACAUUAAAGCAUGGAAUAAUAAGAUAGGACCUGGUUACUAUUUUGUUGGUUUGCAUAGCUAGGUAAUGAUUAACAGGGACAGUUGGGGGUAUUCGUAUUUAAUUGUCAGAGGUGAAAUUCUUGGAUUUAUGAAAGACGAACGACUGCGAAAGCAUUUACCAAGGAUGUUUNCAUUAA
rnacentral:rRNA from 1 species